rnacentral:rRNA from 1 species
UACGGAGGGUCCAAGCAUUAAUCGGAUUUACUGGGCGUAAAGGGCGCGUAGGCGGAUAUAUAAGUCAGAUGUGAAAUUUCGGUGCUCAACAUCGAAGCUGCAUUUGAAACUGUAAAUCUAGAGGAUGGAAGGAGAAAACGGAAUUCCACGUGUAGCGGUGAAAUGCGUAGAUAUGUGGAAGAACACCUGUGGCGAAAGCGGUUUUCUAUUUUAUUCCUGACGCUGAGGCGCGAGAGCAAGGGGAGCAAACAGG